rnacentral:rRNA from 1 species
UACGGAGGGAGCUAGCGUUGUUCGGAAUUACUGGGCGUAAAGCGCACGUAGGCGGCGAUUCAAGUCAGAGGUGAAAGCCCGGGGCUCAACCCCGGAACUGCCUUUGAAACUAGAUCGCUAGAAUUCUGGAGAGGCGAGUGGAAUUCCGAGUGUAGAGGUGAAAUUCGUAGAUAUUCGGAAGAACACCAGUGGCGGAAGGCGACUUACUGGACACAUAUUGACGCUGAGGUGCGAAAGCG